rnacentral:rRNA from 1 species
GAUGAACGCUAGCGGCAGGCCUAACACAUGCAAGUCGAGGGGUAGAAGUUGCUUGCAACUUUGAGACCGGCGCGGGUGCGUAACGCGUAUGCAAUCUGCCUUGUACUGAGGGAUAGCCCAGAGAAAUUUGGAUUAAUACCUCAUAGCAUUAUGAUGUGGCAUCACAUUAUAAUUAAAGUUCCAACGGUACAAGAUGAGCAUGCGUCCCAUUAGUUAGUUGGUAAGGUAACGGCUUACCAAGACGAUGAUGGGUAGGGGUCCUGAGAGGGAGAUCCCCCACACUGGUACUGAGACACGGACCAGACUCCUACGGGAGGCAGCAGUGAGGAAUAUUGGUCAAUGGGCGCAAGCCUGAACCAGCCAUGCCGCGUGCAGGAUGACGCAUCUAUGGUGUGUAAACUGCUUUUGUACAGGAAGAAACACUCCCUCGUGAGGGAGCUUGACGGUACUGUAAGAAUAAGGAUCGGCUAACUCCGUGCCAGCCGCCGCAGUAA